AACGUGGGACACAAGCGUUAUCCGGAGUUACUGGGCGUAAAGGGCGUGUAGGUGGUUUGUUAAGUCUGAUGUGAAAGCCCUGGGCUCAACCUGGGAAUUGCAUUGGAUACUGGCAGGCUAGAGUGCGGUAGAGGGUAGUGGAAUUCCCGGUGUAGCAGUGAAAUGCGUAGAGAUCGGGAGGAACAUCCGUGGCGAAGGCGACUACCUGGACCAGCACUGACACUGAGGCACGAAAGCGUGGGGAGCAAACAGG
rnacentral:rRNA from 1 species